AAUGUCAGGUUCUCCUUCAAGACGAAUAAAUCGUUCGCCUUUUACUAAAUAUUUUCGUGGAAGGAGACAAAUGUAGAUGUGGUCAUUAACAUUGCUAUAUUUUGAGAGUAGUAA